rnacentral:rRNA from 1 species
AUACGUAGGGUGCGAGCGUUAAUCGGAAUUACUGGGCGUAAAGCGUGCGCAGGCGGCUGUUUAAGUCUGAUGUGAAAGCCCCGGGCUUAACCUGGGAACUGCAUUCGAGACUGCUCGGCUAGAGUAUGGCAGAGGGUGGUAGAAUUCCACGUGUAGCAGUGAAAUGCGGAAGGAUGUGGAGGAAUACCGAUGGCGAAGGCAGCCCCCUGGGAUGAUACUGACGCUCAUGCACGAAAGCGUGGGGAGCAAACAGGAUUAGAUACCCUGGUAGUCCACGCCCUAAACGAUGUCAAUUAGCUGUUGGGGGUUUGAAUCCUUGGUAGCGUAGCUAACGCGUGAAAUUGACCGCCUGGGGAGUACGGCCGCAAGGUUAA